GGCGAAAAAAUCUGUCCACCCAACAGCUCGCCGCAACAAAUCGCAUGUUUUCAUUAACUUAACUAAUCUAGCACGAGGUUCGGAUUUUGUUGCAGCAGGUAUUAGUCGCCGUUAAAGCCCCCCAGUAGAAAUGAUUUCGCACAAAGAACUGUAUCGUCGACCUUCAAAUCGCCUUUAUAACUUUUUCUAUAUAUAAUAUACUGUUGUUUGACGGACUUCUACGCGCGCUUUGGCACGAUUUUGAGCUUGGGUGCCCCGAUUCUCUCUAGAUCUCUUCCUUGAACAAAUUGUUGCCGCCGCUACUGCCACCGCAAUCCUGCUGCCGUGUCGUCGCGUCGUCGCUGCCUCUCUCUGCGCUAGCUUCCUCCGUGGAAUAGCUCCACUGUGUCGCUGUACCAGCCCAGCAUUUCAAAGCGCCGGCCACAUCCUGCGAUAAGCUUUCUUCUUCAACUAAGCAAAAUGUACUCUGUAUCGGGUAGAAAAUAGCAUAUAUAUAGCAAGAAAUAGGUUUACGUCACCUGAAUAUAGUGAAUGGAUUAAUAAACUGCUCACUGUGGCAAAAGCCCAUGCACCUGAAAGUAGAACCUCCAGAUGUCCAUGUCGAAGAUGCCGUAAUAACAUAUUCCUACUAAUCAAUGAACUCGAAGAUCAUCUCUUCAUGAUAGGUAUUGAUCCAAGUUAUACACGUUGGAUAUUUCAUGGGGAGGGUGAAAGCCCUAUAUAUAAUUCGGCAGACAGUGAUGAAGAUACAUAUAAUGAAAGUCAUAAUUUUGUUGAUGAUAUGGAUGAGAUGAUAGAGGAGAUGCGGGCUCCAACAUUCAUGUGAGUAGAGCUUUGUUUAUUCAUAAGUAGCUGGUUGAUUCAUUAUAUUUUUAGCUGUUUAGUGUAUGAAAAGUUCACUAUCUAGUGUUAGCACAUAAGUAUGGAACUUACUGGAUAAGCUUUAUGGUUGUAUUAUGUUCAUGGUUUAAGUUGUUUUGGCCACAAAAUCAUAUAGUUCAAUUAAUGAAUGCCAAAGACCCAGACGCUCGCACAGAUGAAGCAGCAACAACCAUAUUUAGGGAGGUAUUGGGACAUAGGUUAGGGUAUAACAGAGGGCUAGGCCACUCUGUUAUGCCCGAAUCUACUAAAGUGGUUGGAGUAUCAAAUGAGGAGUAUGAACGGCUUGUUAAGGAGAAUGAAGCAAAUAGGAAAAAUGCAGAGUAUUACCAAAAUCGGGUUGAAGAGAUUGAAGGUGGUUUCAAGAUGAUGAGGGAGCAUAUGCGGGAUUAUGAGUAACGUGUAAACAUGAGAAUGUCAGAAGUGGAGACGGAAUUAGAGUCUCAGAGAGAGACUCAAACUGCAGUUCCUUAGCCGACAUUUCUGCAUGCCAGAAGUUACUAAUUUUGUAUUUUGACCUACACUUUUGCUACACUUUUGAUGAAAGGGUGUUGGGGAUGCUGAUAAUAUAGUAAUACUUUUGAAAAGGGAUUAAUUAUAUUCUAAUCUUGCUGCAGAGGGUCAAGGAUGGGAGGUAAAUUGGUUUCUUGCUCUAUAUUGACUGGAUGCUACUAAACUAUUUGAUGAUGUUUGGAGAGGUCAUCUAUGACAGAUUCAAUGACCUUUCUAGAUGAUUACCAUGUAAAGUGACAACUGUUACAUAGGCGUGUUGUCAUGUUGAUAGAAUGCUAAAAUGGUACCAUGUAAAUCAGUUUGCAUUGUUAAAACUGCCAUAGAUUACUCAAUUUGCAGUUUUAACAAUGCAAACAGAUUUAACUAAUUGUCAUGAAUCAAAGGGACUUUGCUGGAUAUUAACAAGGUAUUGCCUGUAAUUUAAAACAUCUUGAAACAGAAAAUAUCUUUGCAAUGUUUUUCAGUUUAAUCGUUACUUGAGGUGGUUUUUGGGAGGUUUAACUAGAACAAACCAUGAUUUACUUAUUGCAUGCUAAAUGCAAUGACUCAUAUAUUGACAGUAAAUGGUACUUAAUACUAUGGGUGGUAGUUAAAUUGGGCAGCAAAUAAAUUUCAGUUAUACCAUACUGACUUGUGAAGAGGUUUUUAGGCAUACACAAAAUGCUUAUGGUAUGAGGAAUUGUGUUAUUGCAAAGCAUAAAGGGUGACUAGUGCAAUAGUAGGAUAUGGUGAAAUAUAGAUGGAAUAAUUAUGUAUGAAAGGCAUAUAUAUGCAUGAACUUACUGUUGUUAUAUAUACAUGACAGAGUUCUUGUAAAGGCAAGGCAAAAAUUACAAUGAUGUUUCUGCAUGGCAAGCUGGUACUGCUACCAAGAAGUAUAUGGCCAUGUGAAGAGUAAGGUGAUCAAUAUUUUACAUCCAAGGGCAGUGGUGAUUUGGAUGUGCGUCCCAAGACCCCAAAGAACUUUAAGUUUAAAUUUUCCUCUGUACGUGGGGUAUGUACAUAUACAUGUAGAGAUAUAUAGUAAGACUGCUGGCAAGUUGAAAUAGCAAGUAUGGAUCAGAAUUAUGAGAUCACUGCUAAACUAAGUUAUGGACAAAGUUGAA